rnacentral:rRNA from 1 species
GAUGAACGCUAGCGAUAGGCUUAACACAUGCAAGUCGAGGGGCAGCACAUGAGUGGUAACACGAUGGUGGCGACCGGCGCACGGGUGAGUAACACGUAUGCGACCUACCUAUAACUGGGGAAUAACCCGUCGAAAGGCGGACUAAUACCGCAUAACAAUGCAGAGCUGCAUGGCCCUGCAUUUAAAGAUUUAUCGGUUAUAGAUGGGCAUGCGUUCCAUUAGAUAGUUGGUAGGGUAACGGCCUACCAAGUCUGCGAUGGAUAGGGGUUCUGAGAGGAAGGUCCCCCACACUGGUACUGAGACACGGACCAGACUCCUACGGGUGGCAG